UGCAGUCGAGCGGACAGAUGGGAGCUUGCUCCCUGAUGUUAGCGGCGGACGGGUGAGUAACACGUGGGUAACCUGCCUGUAAGACUGGGAUAACUCCGGGAAACCGGGGCUAAUACCGGAUGCUUGAUUGAACCGCAUGGUUCAAUUAUAAAAGGUGGCUUUUAGCUACCACUUACAGAUGGACCCGCGGCGCAUUAGCUAGUUGGUGAGGUAACGGCUCACCAAGGCAACGAUGCGUAGCCGACCUGAGAGGGUGAUCGGCCACACUGGGACUGAGACACGGCCCAGACUCCUACGGGAGGCAGCAGUAGGGAAUCUUCCGCAAUGGACGAAAGUCUGACGGAGCAACGCCGCGUGAGUGAUGAAGGUUUUCGGAUCGUAAAACUCUGUUGUUAGGGAAGAACAAGUACCGUUCGAAUAGGGCGGUACCUUGACGGUACCUAACCAGAAAGCCACGGCUAACUACGUGCCAGCAGCCGCGGUAAUACGUAGGUGGCAAGCGUUGUCCGGAAUUAUUGGGCGUAAAGCGCGCGCAGGCGGUUUCUUAAGUCUGAUGUGAAAGCCCCCGGCUCAACCGGGGAGGGUCAUUGGAAACUGGGGAACUUGAGUGCAGAAGAGGAGAGUGGAAUUCCACGUGUAGCGGUGAAAUGCGUAGAGAUGUGGAGGAACACCAGUGGCGAAGGCGACUCUCUGGUCUGUAACUGACGCUGAGGCGCGAAAGCGUGGGGAGCGAACAGGAUUAGAUACCCUGGUAGUCCACGCCGUAAACGAUGAGUGCUAAGUGUUAGAGGGUUUCCGCCCUUUAGUGCUGCAGCAAACGCAUAAGCACUC
rnacentral:rRNA from 1 species